CUAGGCCCUUUCCCAUUCCUUUGCUCUAAAGAAAAUCUCAGCCCUAGCCCUCGCUGUUGCGCGUGCACGCACCGUGGAGCAAUGUCCCAAUACCACUUUAAGGUAGCUUUAAGGGGUAAGAGGGAGGGCUAACAUCCCCUCAAAAUUGAGAUUUUCGAUGGGCACCCUCAAAGCGAUUCAGUUCUGACUUGCUCCCACAAUACCUUGCGAGAAAACGGAAAAUCAAGAAAUAUCCCAGACAAGAUGGAGGACGAAAAGAUGCGACAGGAUUGGAAAAACACAAAUGACAUCGUUGAGUCCACUGCCACCAGCCCCCCCACCUCUCCCUCAUGCUCCUCCACCCCAGGCACCUCUUCCACCACCCCAGACACCCCUUCCAAGAGGAGAGUGCCAGGGGGCAGGCGAGGCAUGAGGAGAGCGAGGCAAAGUUGGCGGAAUGGUGGAGAAGAUGUGAUUCUCCACCAUUCUCUCAAAAGCUGAGAGAGAGUGUGUGUGUGUGUGUAUUUUUAGGUUUGCGUGUGUGUGUAUUUUUAGAUGCGUGUGUGUGUAUUUUUAGAUGUGUGGUUCAGUGUUUCUUAUUUAAAUAAAGUGUUUCUUCUAAAGUGUUCUUGUUCAUAACCGAUUAUUAUCUAAGGGUGCACUCACACUAGGCCAUCUGUCCGUGGCCAUGGCCGUUUUAGCACCUAACCGUGCUCAAAUCUGCCAGUGUGAGUGUGGCCAGUCUGGCUAAUACCACCUUUAACAGUAUUAUUAUUUUUUUAACACUUUAUUUAAACAUGCCAAUUACAAAAUAUAAAUACCAUUUCAGGUUAAACAUCUUUACAAUGGGUCU